rnacentral:rRNA from 1 species
CGCGUAGGCGGCCUGCUAAGUCGAACGUGAAAUCCCUGGGCUCAACCCAGGAACUGCGUCCGAUACUGGUUGGCUUGAAUCCGGGAGGAGGGAUGUGGAAUUCCAGGUGUAGCGGUGAAAUGCGUAGAUACCUGGAGGAACACCGGUGGCGAAGGCGACAUCCUGGACCGGCAUUGACGCUGAGGCGCGAAAGCCAGGGGAGGCAAACG